rnacentral:snoRNA from 1 species
AGGCAUGAUGAGGAUUGUUUUAUUGUCAUCUGAUUCUUAUUGAUGAAUCUAUACCUCCUACUCAUUCUGAGU